rnacentral:rRNA from 1 species
AACGAACGCUGGCGGCAGGCUUAACACAUGCAAGUCGAACGCCCCGCAAGGGGAGUGGCAGACGGGUGAGUAACGCGUGGGAAUCUACCCAGAUCUUCGGAACAACUGAGGGAAACUUCAGCUAAUACCGGAUACGCCCUACGGGGGAAAGAUUUAUCGGUUCUGGAUGAGCCCGCGCUGGAUUAGCUAGUUGGUGAGGUAAUGGCUCACCAAGGCGACGAUCCAUAGCUGGUCUGAGAGGAUGAUCAGCCACACUGGGACUGAGACACGGCCCAGACUCCUACGGGAGGCAGCAGUGGGGAAUAUUGGACAAUGGGCGAAAGCCUGAUCCAGCCAUGCCGCGUGAGUGAUGAAGGCCUUAGGGUUGUAAAGCUCUUUCAGUAGGGAAGAUAAUGACGGUACCUACAGAAGAAGCCCCGGCUAACUUCGUGCCAGCCGCCGCGGUAAAAC